GGCCGCUGAGGCAAGGCGGUGGCCAUGCACGGAGGCAGUAGUGGGCCAGGGUGCAACCCGUGGGCAGUAGUGGAUCAGGCUGUGACCCGCGGUGGCCGUAGUGGGCCAGGCCGCGGCGGUGGGCCAAGCUGCAGCAGCGGCGGGAGAAUUGGCUGGCCGGGCAGCUGCGGGCCCGGUGCGGUGGAAGUAGUGGGCCAGGCGGCGGGUCCCGCCCAGCCGCUGAGGCGAGGAGGCAGCCGCAGUGGGCCCGGACGCCAGGUGGCGGCGGGCCUGGCCGAGGCGGCAGCACUCGGCCGGGCCGGAGACUGGGGCGGGGGGACAGAGGCGGCGGAUCUGGCCCAGCGCGGAGGCAAGCAGAUCGAGGGGAUAAGAGUGCAUGGUGAAGGAGACAAUGCCAAAAUGUAAGUGGAUUGCCCCUGGAUGUAUGCUCCAUCUCUCUCCCCAUUGCCUGCACUGUAUGUUGGUGAAUCAAGGACUUUUGGUGUUUGCUCUACCUUAUAGAGCACACGAUGAUACACAGCCAUGGAAACCUGGUGUAAGCAGGUGCAGAGGCUGAGAACUGGUUUCUGCCUGGACAUUUUAUGUAGUACAUGACAUUUUGGGAAAACAUUGUUGUAGGGAUGCAUAAGGCGUAUCUGUAGGAAGUGAUUAUGAAUGGUUGGGGAGUUCUCAGAUUUCUGCCUAUAUCUGCACUGUAAUAGGUACUGUUCCUUGUAGAGAUGCAUCACGCAUAAAUCUCUAGCAAGUUGUUGGGGAAUCUGCACCAGCUGAAUUUACGCCUGCAUUCAUCCCUUCCCAGCUCAAUCUCAAGAUGAAAGAUCAAGACAAAGUAUAGAUUAAUGGGGAGAAAGAGAAGGAUCUUCACAGGUUCUGAAAUUCCUUCCUGAGAAAAGUAAUAUGAGACCAUCUCUGUACUCCUACAAGAAAGUAUAGACAUUUUAAUGGACUUCUGUAAAGAUAUUUUUAUGUCAAUAAGCAUUCACAGGGUGAGAUGCAUUGUUACUGAUGUUGUUUUAGCUUAUCAGCGGGUGAUAAGAUUUAUUUAAAACCUGUGCUUGUUUUAAAUAAAUAUAUUUUUAAAGUAUUGUUUUUAAUUGAUUUGAUAAAAAGGAAUAUAGUUUUCAUAUCCAUUUGAA